GGCCCUUUGUUUUGCUAAGCAUGGGAGAGUCAGCCAUGAACCAUGUCUCCUGUGUUUCAGUUUGACAGUGGGUAUAGCAAGAGUCUAUGUACAAUCCUUUGGAAGAAGAGUUGGCUGAUUUAUACAAUGCACUCAAGAAGUGCAACCUAAAAUCUUGCAUUGUUUUGAGUUGAAUAGGGGAACAGUUGUUCAUGUCAACCUUGCAGUCAU
rnacentral:misc_RNA from 1 species